GACGAACGCUGGCGGCGUGCCUAAUACAUGCAAGUAGAACGCUGAAGGAGGAGCUUGCUCUUCUGGAUGAGUUGCGAACGGGUGAGUAACGCGUAGGUAACCUGCCUGGUAGCGGGGGAUAACUAUUGGAAACGAUAGCUAAUACCGCAUAACAGUAGAUGUUGCAUGACAUUUACUUAAAAGGUGCAAUUGCAUCACUACCAGAUGGACCUGCGUUGUAUUAGCUAGUUGGUGGGGUAACGGCUCACCGAGGCGACGAUACAUAGCCGACCUGAGAGGGUGAUCGGCCACACUGGGACUGAGACACGGCCCAGACUCCUACGGGAGGCAGCAGUAGGGAAUCUUCGGCAAUGGACGGAAGUCUGACCGAGCAACGCCGCGUGAGUGAAGAAGGUUUUCGGAUCGUAAAGCUCUGUUGUAAGAGAAGAACGAGUGUGAGAGUGGAAAGUUCACACUGUGACGGUAUCUUACCAGAAAGGGACGGCUAACUACGUG
rnacentral:rRNA from 1 species